rnacentral:rRNA from 1 species
UACGGAGGGGGCUAGCGUUGCUCGGAAUUACUGGGCGUAAAGCGCACGUAGGCGGCUCUUUAAGUCGGAGGUGAAAUCCUGGAGCUCAACUCCAGAACUGCCUUCGAUACUGAAGAGCUCGAGUCCGGGAGAGGUGAGUGGAACUGCGAGUGUAGAGGUGAAAUUCGUAGAUAUUCGCAAGAACACCAGUGGCGAAGGCGGCUCACUGGCCCGGUACUGACGCUGAGGUGCGAAAGCGUGGGGAGCAAACAGG